GUGGGGAAUAUUGCACAAUGGGGGGAACCCUGAUGCAGCAAUGCCGCGUGGGUGAAGAAGUAUUUCGGUAUGUAAAGCCCUAUCAGCAGGGAAGAAAAUGACGGUACCUGACUAAGAAGCCCCGGCUAACUACGUGCCAGCAGCCGCGGUAAUACGUAGGGGGCGAGCGUUAUCCGGAUUUACUGGGUGUAAAGGGAGCGCAGGCGGCGUGGCAAGUCAGAUGUGAAAACCCGGGGCCCAACCCCGGGACUGCAUUUGAAACUGCCAUGCUGGAGUGCUGGAGAGGCAAGUGGAAUUCCUAGUGUAGCGGUGAAAUGCGUAGAUAUUAGGAGGAACACCAGUGGCGGAGGCGGCUUGCUGGACAGUAACUGACGCUGAGGCUCGAAAGCGUGGGGAGCAAACAGG
rnacentral:rRNA from 1 species